CGUUUUGAUUCAACAAGAGGGAGGGAGAGAGAAGAUGUCAUCAAGUUGCCAGGAAGCUACAGACUCCCCUGCAGUGCUCAAGCCAACAUCCCUCCAGGCCUGAACUGUCCAUUGAACCCCCUGUCACUUUUCAAACUCUCUCUCAGCCAAGGCAGGAAUUGUAUGUCAUUAAAUUGAAAUUUGGUGCCACAGCUGUGGUCCAGCUUCACACAGAGAGAAUGGAGUACAGUGAUUUAACAGAGAGACUUCCUUUUGCAAUAGACUUCAGGAUCAUUGCUCAAGAAGAAUUCAACUCAUGAAGUUUAAUCAGUGGUUGACACAGCAGAGCAUGAGGAGCAGACAUCCUUACAAUAAAAACUGACUUUACAAUAGUUGUAAUCCAGAGAAAUGAAAGUCUAUGGCUGGAUGAUAUAUUUGAAAUGAUUUCGCUGACCAUAUGAAAUUAAACAACAUAAUGAAUGUCAAGGGGAUUUUUAUUUGGCCAUUAAGUUUCUGUAUGGUGUCAUUAGACUUCAGUUAAUUUGCAUUUGUAAUCUUAAUUUUGUGGAAAAAUACCUUAACUUAUAGCAGUCACAUACUUAUGAACUAUUCUAUGCCAUUUUAUACACAGUAUGAGUUGUGCUCACUGAAAUUUCCAACAUGAAUUGCACUUUUAACCAGAUGAUGUGCUAAUUUAACAAAAAAAAAAUGUAUAAAAAUGGAAUGUUGGGCACUAAAUUCACUCACUGUUUUCCUUGUAUAGAGAGGAAGGAGAGGGGUUA